UUCCCCUUCGGGGGACAAAGUGACAGGUGGUGCAUGGUUGUCGUCAGCUCGUGUCGUGAGAUGUUGGGUUAAGUCCCGCAACGAGCGCAACCCUUAAGCUUAGUUGCCAUCAUUAAGUUGGGCACUCUAAGUUGACUGCCGGUGAUAAACCGGAGGAAGGUGGGGAUGACGUCAAAUCAUCAUGCCCCUUAUGAUUUGGGCUACACACGUGCUACAAUGGACAAUACAAAGGGCAGCGAAACCGUGAGGUCAAGCAAAUCCCAUAAAGUUGUUCUCAGUUCGGAUUGUAGUCUGCAACUCGACUACAUGAAGCUGGAAUCGCUAGUAAUCGUAGAUCAGCAUGCUACGGUGAAUACGUUCCCGGGUCUUGUACACACCGCCCGUCACACCACGAGAGUUUGUAACACCCGAAGCCGGUGGAGUAACCUUUUAGGAGCUAGCCGUCGAAGGUGGGACAAAUGAUUGGGGUGAAGUCGUAACAAGGUAGCCGUAUCGGAAGGUGCGGCUGGAUCACCUCCUUUCUAAGGA
rnacentral:rRNA from 1 species